ACUUUCAGUCGUGAGGAAGGAGUUAGGGUAAAUAGCCUUAGCAAUUGACGUUAGCGACAGAAGAAGCACCGGCUAACUCCGUGCCAGCAGCCGCGGUAAUACGGAGGGUGCGAGCGUUAAUCGGAAUUACUGGGCGUAAAGGGCACGCAGGCGGUUAAUUAAGUUGGAUGUGAAAUCCCCGGGCUUAACCUGGGAAUGGCAUUCAAGACUGGUUAGCUAGAGUCUUGUAGAGGGGGGUAGAAUUCCAUGUGUAGCGGUGAAAUGCGUAGAGAUGUGGAGGAAUACCGGUGGCGAAGGCGGCCCCCUGGACAAAGACUGACGCUCAUGUGCGAAAGCGUGGGGAGCAAACAGGAUUAGAUACCCUGGUAGUCCACGCUGUAAACGAUGUCGAUUUGGAGGUUGGGGUCAAGAAUUUUGGCCUCCGGAGCUAACGCGUUAAAUCGACCGCCUGGGGAGUACGGCCGCAAGGUUAAAACUCAAAUGAAUUGACGGGGGCCCGCACAAGCGGUGGAGCAUGUGGUUUAAUUCGAUGCAACGCGAAGAACCUUACCUACUCUUGACAUCCAGCGAAUCCUUUA
rnacentral:rRNA from 1 species